rnacentral:rRNA from 1 species
UAUUGGACAAUGGGCGAAAGCCUGAUCCCAGCAAUGCCGCGUGAGUGAUGAAGGCCUUAGGGUUGUAAAGCUCUUUUACCCGGGAUGAUAAUGACAGUACCGGGAGAAUAAGCUCCGGCUAACUCCGUGCCAGCAGCCGCGGUAAUACGGAGGGAGCUAGCGUUGUUCGGAAUUACUGGGCGUAAAGCGCACGUAGGCGGCUUUGUAAGUUAGAGGUGAAAGCCUGGAGCUCAACUCCAGAAUUGCCUUUGAUACUGCAUCGCUUGAAUCCAGGAGAGGUGAGUGGAAUUCCGAGUGUAGAGGUGAAAUUCGUAGAUAUUCGGAAGAACACCAGUGGCGAAGGCGGCUCACUGGAGCUGGUAUUGACGCUGAGGUGCGAAG